GGCGUCCACCCCAGAGGAUGGCCCUGGCUGUUGGCAGGCGUGGGCGUGUGCCCAGGUCACACACUCUGCAGGGUCCAGGCCAGGAGCUAUGACAGUGCAGUUUGGAGUGGAUGCUGGCUGGCUUCAGCGGCACCAGGAAAGAGUGUAAGCUGUGGGUACCACGUGCAUGUGAGCUCAGCCCCACGAGAGCAUGUGUGUGUGUCUGAAUGGCCUGCUGCCAGCAAGGAGCCUGGCCCCAGGGCUGAGACCCACCUAGGACCCCCUUCCCCGCUUCAUGGAGAAACCCCAGCCUUUAGAAUGGUAACCGAGGCUGUUCCUUCUGCUUUGUUGGAACCGCAGCCACACUUGCCUCUUCCUAUGACCUUCAGGGCUGGUCUCUGAGCUCCAUUCAGUGAGCCAUCCCUGCAACAUUCGCAGUGCACUGGAAAUCCACACGCCUGGCCCUCCUGACAACAGCUGUUUCGGAAAUCCAGAGCCACCCACAGCGCACCAGGGAGGGGUCCGCCCCCUCCCCACCGCUCAGCGCAGAUCCUGUUCUUCUCCCACAGACCCUCUUCCCGCCCCCUGCCGCUCCGCCAGCCAGGCUUCCUCCACUGUGGCACCAUGGACAUCUGGACCCUCAAUUUUACACUGGGAAGUCCUGUACUAUGGGAUGUUUAGAAGCCUCCCUGGGCUCUGCCUACUAGGCGCCAGGAGAAACCACCCGGCCACCCAGUUGUGACUGCCAAAACUGUCUCCAGGAAUUGCCAAAUGUCCCAUGGGGGAAAAUUGUCCCCAGUUAAGAACCACUAUUCCCAACCAACGACCAUUCCCUACGUCUUUAUCAGGAAGUGUAAGCUAAUAACCUCUA